rfam:Triticum aestivum genome assembly, contig: Triticum_aestivum_CS42_TGACv1_scaffold_569848_7AS
AUGGUACUCCCUCCGUACAGAAAUACUUGUCAUAGAAAUGGAUACAAAUGUGUGUAUCCAGAACUAAAAUACAUCUAGAUACAUCCAUUCCUUGGACAAGUAUUUCCGGACGGAGGGAGUAUUUA